AUAUCUGUGACAGAUGUCCACAGCAGAGAGCCAGGAACCGUCUGGUUGCUCCCCUGCAGGUGCUGCUCCUAUGUGGGCCGCCGGGGAGGGGGACCCCAGGCCAUCUCCAUCGGCAAAAACUGCGACAAAUUCGGCAUCGUGGUGCACGAGCUGGGCCACGUCAUCGGCUUCUGGCACGAGCACACGCGCCCCGACAGGGAUGACCACGUCUCCAUCAUCAGGGAGAACAUCCAGCCAGGUGGGGAUGAGCUUCCCUCCUCCUCCUCUUUCUCCUUCUCCUCCUCAUCUUCAUCCCUGCUGCCGAAAUUGGGGUUCCCCUGGCAGUGCCCCGUCCUGUGCUCCUCAGGGCAGGAAUACAACUUCCUCAAGAUGGAGCCUGAGGAGGUGGAGUCGCUGGGGGAGACCUAUGACUUUGACAGCAUCAUGCACUACGCCAGGAACACCUUCUCCAGGGGCAUCUUCCUGGACACCAUCCUGCCCAAAUACGACGUGAACGGCGUCCGGCCCGCCAUCGGCCAGAGGACACGGCUCAGCAAAGGGGACAUUGCCCAGGCCCGCAAGCUCUACCGCUGCCCAGGUGAGUGCCACCCCCCGAGGGCACUGAGAACCCAUGGGAGCACCCCCAGGUUGGAUUUCCCUCGGUUUCACCCCAAAUCUUGGCAAAAGCAGCGUCAUGUUGGGUGGAUUCGCUGUUUCCAGUGGGUUUGGGGUCCUCGCUCCCUAAAGAGCACUCAAGGUGCCUCAUCCAUCCACUUUGGGGGGCUGUGAGGAGAAUCUGCCUGUGUGAGGGUGUCCUCAGCUCCUUUCUCUUCCCAUUUCUGCAAGAAAAGAGCCCUGGGUGUGCACAGACAAUUCGUGGGUCUUCCCUGAGGAUGGAGACUCCAGGAGAUAUGGAAAUUACACAGAGUGGGGAAAGGUGACGUGAUUCAGGCAGUGAGGGAGGGAUGUGAAAGCUUUGAAAUGUGGAUGCUCAUCCUGACUUCACCAUUGCUCCCAUUCGGGACGAGCCACUGUCCCUUUUAAUCCCUUUUAAUCACAGCACUUCCCCUAGAGCGUUGUCCCAAAAAAUCCUCUCCAGAGCAUCUUCUUGGAGCAGCCCUCCAAAGAGCAUGC
rnacentral:lncRNA from 1 species